rnacentral:rRNA from 1 species
GACGAACGCUGGCGGCGUGCUUAACACAUGCAAGUCGAACGGAAAGGCCCUGCUUUUGUGGGGUGCUCGAGUGGCGAACGGGUGAGUAACACGUGAGUAACCUGCCCUUGACUUUGGGAUAACUUCAGGAAACUGGGGCUAAUACCGGAUAUGAGCUCCUGCUGCAUGGUGGGGGUUGGAAAGUUUCGGCGGUUGGGGAUGGACUCGGGGCUUAUCAGCUUGUUGGUGGGGUAGUGGCUUACCAAGGCUUUGACGGGUAGCCGGCCUGAGAGGGUGACCGGCCACAUUGGGACUGAGAUACGGCCCAGAAUCCUACGGGAGGCAGCAGUGGGGAAUAUUGCACAAUGGGCGGAAGCCUGAUGCAGCAACGCCGCGUGCGGGAUGACGGCCUUCGGGUUGUAAACCGCUUUCGCCUGUGACGAAGCGUGAGUGACGGUAAUGGGUAAAGAAGCACCGGCUAACUACGUG